UGCUGUUCAGAGAAGGACCCGAGGGGCAUGCCUUGAUUGCCAGGACUUACCCACUGGUCUUCCUGGGAGCGGGGCUGAGGUGCCACUGAUACUGGGUAGAGCUAGCUAGGCCUAGAGGUCAGGAGUUUUCUAGGCUCUAGAAGUGACCUGACCUUUGAAUUACAUAAGCCUCUGUGAUCUUAGUAUUGUCUCUGAGAGCUCCACCAGCCCUUUCCUCUUUCUUGGGUGCAGGAAGGAAGAGUGCGGAAGGUAAGUGGGAGGAGUUUCAGAAAAGCAUUACUUACUUACCUUGAUAAAUUAUAACAUGAAACAGAAUCCACAGUUCUUUCUGAAAUCUGUCAAGUAUAGUGUGAAGCAGGAGGCAGGGCAGAGGGUGCCACCCUCCUUCAGUAGACUCGGAGAAGUUGUCCGGAAAAGAAUAAGUAGGCAGUGAUGCUGAAUGAUUUCUGGGCCUACAUUCUUCCCCACACCCCAGACUGCCACCUGGGAGCAGAAAGACUGGUUUGGUCUUUCUGUCAAGUAGCCAGUGUUUGAGACCCUACAGUCCGGUGGCUAGAAAAACAGUAAGAAGGCUCGGCCGUCCUGGAUGAAGGGUCAGCAUUGUUCUGGCAGGCUUAGCAGCGUGUGGCUGUCACCAGGGACUCCGCUGACCUGUUGUAGCUUUUGGUGUCAGUGAGAGGAGGGAUAAUCUUGCU
rnacentral:lncRNA from 1 species